GAGGGUAUAGCUCUACUGGUAGAGUGCAUGCUUAGCAUGUUUGAGAUCUGGGUUUUAAUCCCCAGUACCUCCA
rnacentral:tRNA from 1 species